GGACUACAAGGGUUUCUAAUCCUGUUUGCUCCCCACGCUUUCGCACCUCAGCGUCAGUACCGGACCAGUGGGCCGCCUUCGCCACCGGUGUUCUUCCUAAUAUCUACGAAUUUCACCUCUACACUAGGAAUUCCACCCACCUCUUCCGGACUCGAGACGUGCUGUAUCAAAGGCAGUUCCGAGGUUGAGCCCCGGGAUUUCACCCCUGACUGACACAUCCGCCUACGUGCGCUUUACGCCCAGUGAUUCCGAACAACGCUAGUCCCCUUCGUAUUACCGCGGCGGCUGGCAC
rnacentral:rRNA from 1 species